UACGUAGGGGGCUAGCGUUGUCCGGAAUCAUUGGGCGUAAAGCGCGUGUAGGCGGUCCGGUAAGUCCGCUGUGAAAGUCGGGGGCUCAACCCUCGGAUGCCGGUGGAUACUGUCGGGCUUGAGUACGGAAGAGGCGAGUGGAAUUCCUGGUGUAGCGGUGAAAUGCGCAGCAUAUCAGGAGGAACGACCAAUUGCGAAGGCAGCUCGCUGGGACGUUACUGACGCUGAGACGCGAAGCGUGGGAGCAAACAGGAUAGAACCGUGUAGUCAGACC
rnacentral:rRNA from 1 species